rfam:Rattus norvegicus chromosome 1, whole genome shotgun sequence.
GGGGAUUUAGCUCAGCGGUAGAGCACUUGCCUAGGAAGCGCAAGGCCCUGGGUUCAGUCCCCA